CAUUGGAGUGAACUUUGACCCCGAUUGAACGUGAGCCCAGAUGCUAACGUUAUCGUUUGAUCUGUGUGUCACUGAUCAAUGGAGCCUUGUGGGAAAUAUGCUUCAUGGAAUGUUUUUCAGCUUCUGGGAGAUGCUGGCCCGGCUCUUUGUUUACUGUGAGAAUGCGUGGACAAGAUGUCACUUUUUUAUUAAUGAUGGGACAUUUUUAGACCAAGAUAAGACUCUAAGAAUCUCUGCAAAGGAUCAGUGGCAACUCGGAGGAUAUUUGAUUUUCGUGAAUUCCUCAGCGUCUCUUCGUGCCGUUCUCACCGCCACCAGCUCGCUCCUCUUCACAUUUUUGCCGUCGGGCUGCGUUACAUCACCGAACUGGUUCACCUCUGUGUGCAUAAAGAUAGCAUCUACUGUGACGGACUGAAACGUCAUGCUGCAGACAAAACAUCGUAGCAAACACUCAUACAACAUGCAAAAGUAAGUAUGGGUGGUAGGUGACUCUAAUGACCACACGCAUGACAAUGGUGCGUUCCUUUUUCAUGGCGUCCCUUGAGGUGGCCGUACGAGCCUCAAGGGAACUGCAAGACACACCUGAACUACCAUCAAGAUUUGACUCUUUACGACUCUCCAUGCACCUCAGUGUUGAGAAAACGUAUGUUUUCCUUUAUUCAAAGUCUUAAAGUUUGUUAGUUUAAAUCAUAUUAUCAAGCCAUAUCAUAGUUCGUAGAAACACUGAUUGUUUUUUAUUUUUUAUUUUAUUUUACUUUUUUAUUCCUUUAGUUGAUAGAAUUUGUAGCCACUAGAGAGAGAAUAGGAAAAUACUUUCUAUCAAACUCAUUUUGACAGGUGACCUUUGACCCUACACCAUCAAUCAAACUAAUUACAUACAUAUAAAGCCAUCUGAUGGGGUAGGGUCAAAGGUCACCUGUCAAAAUGAGUUUGAUGGAAGGUCUAUUCCUGUUCUUUCUGACACUAUGUUGUCUGUUGUUUUUAUUAAGUAGCAACUGAAUGUGCAGACAGAUGAAUGUCAACACCUACUACCGAAGGCCACAGAUACACACAUAAGGCUAAACUCUUGUUUAAGUGUCCACAACAUGUGUGAUUUUCAAAUACACUCUCAGUGUUAAGAUUGAAUGUAACCAUUGUCUGUUUACUCCUUGCAGCAAGUAAAAUGCUUUAAGAGAUGUUUGUGAAUUGAGUCUCUUCGUAUGUCUGGAAGACAGGGUACGGAUUAAUAGCAUUUCUUUACUGUCCGUUUUCAAAAAUACAAAAAUCGAAAUAUUUCCACCUCUUCUCUAUUCUUUAUUAUUUAGCUCUUUGUGCAUCUUUUGAGUGCAGUGUGAUUCACAUGUUGUUCCUCUUUCCCACUUCCCUCCAGGGGACCGGGAGAGAUUUCAGAUUCCAGGUGGACCGCCUGGGUUCCUGUUCUUGGUCGUGGACCGCGCCUCUGGCUCAUCAU